rnacentral:rRNA from 1 species
CCUACGGGAGGCAGCAGUGAGGAAUAUUGGUCAAUGGCCGGAAGGCUGAACCAGCCACGCCGCGUGAAGGACGAAGGUGCCAAGAACUGUAAACUUCUUUUGUCAAGGGACAAAAUCAGGCUCGAGAGCCUGACCGAGGGUACUUGAACAAAAAGCAUCGGCUAACUCCGUGCCAGCCGCCGCGGUAAUACGGGGGAUGCGAGCGUUAUCCGGAUUUAUUGGGUUUAAGGGGUGUGUAGGCGGACUGUUAAGUCAGCGGUAAAAGCCCGGGGCUCAACCCCGGCGAGCCGUUGAAACUGGCUGUCUUGAGAUGUCGAGAGGUAUGCGGAAUGCGCGGUGUAGCGGUGAAAUGCGUAGAUAUUGCGCAGAACUCCGAUUGCGAAGGCAGCAUACCGGCGGCGAUCUGACGCUGAGGCACGAAAGCGUGGGUAUCGAACAGGAUUAGAUACCCUAGUAGUC